AUUGAACGCUGGCGGCAGGCCUAGCACAUGCAAGUCGAGCGAGACCUUCGGUCUUAGCGGCGGACGGGUGAGUAACGCGUGGGAACGUGCCUUUCACUACGGAAUAGUCCCGGGAAACUGGGUUUAAUACCGUAUACGCCCUUCGGGGGAAAGAAUUUCGGUGAGAGAUCGGCCCGCGUCUGAUUAGCUAGUUGGUAAGGUAAAGGCUUACCAAGGCAACGAUCAAUAGCUGUUCUUAGAGGAAGACCAGCCACAUUGGGACUGAGACACGGCCCAGACUCCUACGGGAGGCAGCAGUGGGGAAUCUUAGACAAUGGGGGCAACCCUGAUCUAGCCAUGCCGCGUGAGUGAUGAAGGCCUUAGGGUCGUAAAGCUCUUUCGCCUGUGAUGAUAAUGACAGUAGCAGGUAAAGAAACCCCGGCUAACUCCGUG
rnacentral:rRNA from 1 species